ensembl:lncRNA
CUAGUACAUUAGUCAGUAAGCUUUCAGGUUUCUCUGAAAGUCAGCUGGACCUGAAAUGAUUAGAUACACGGUACGGAACACUCAGCAGAUGGUGAUAACAAUCACACAACCUAGAACUCCCACUACUAUCUCCAGGAGAAUGCCCGUUAUCAUUUGACAAAAUCCCCACUGUUACCAAUCACCGAAGGCAGCUGUGGUCUUUGCAGACAGCCACAUCCACGGGGAUUGGAGGCUUCUGAACCGGAACCUUGUCUUUCCCGUCUCGUGCCCGCUAAGUCACGUUGUUUGAAAGCAGCACCUUCGCGGCAACCUUGAUUUCUGCAGCCUUCUCCGAGCUUUGUGCCACGAGAGCUGUGCCGCUUCUACCUGUGAGAGAGCAUAUGGAAGGCCCUGCAAGAAGUCUGGUGAUAACCAUGGAAGCAUGGAAGCGUUACCCAGACAGACUGAGCAUUUGUCACCUGGGCAUUCUACAGAUGACAUAGGCAGUGGAAGUCAGCAUUGGAAGCAUGCGUGAGACCCCUGCAAAAGAAUGAUGAGAGUUACCCUGGCGGCCUCCUUUGGCAAUCUCAG